rnacentral:rRNA from 1 species
GACGAACGCUGGCGGCGUGCUUAACACAUGCAAGUCGAACGGAAAGGCCCCUUUGGGGGUCCUCGAGUGGCGAACGGGUGAGUAACACGUGAGUAACCUGCCCUUGACUUCGGGAUAACUUCAGGAAACUGGGGCUAAUACCGGAUAGGAAUCCUUGCUGCAUGGUGGGGGUUGGAAAGCUUCGGCGGUUUUGGAUGGACUCGCGGCUUAUCAGCUUGUUGGUGGGGUAGUGGCUUACCAAGGCUUUAACGGGUAGCCGGCCUGAGAGGGCGACCGGCCACAUUGGGACUGAGAUACGGCCCAGACGCCGACGGGAGGCAGCAGUGGGGAAUAUUGCACAAUGGGCGGAAGCCUGAUGCAGCAACGCCGCGUGCGGGAUGACGGCCUUCGGGUUGUAAACCGCUUUCAGCAGGGGCGAAGCUUGUGGUGACGGUACCUGCAGAAGAAGCACCGGCUAACUACGUG